AACGAACGCUGGCGGCAUGCCUAACACAUGCAAGUCGAACGAGACCUUCGGGUCUAGUGGCGCACGGGUGCGUAACACGUGGGAAUUUGCCUCGGGGUAUGGAAUAACUCAGGGAAACUUGAGCUAAUACCAUAUAAUGUCUUCGGACCAAAGAUUUAUCGCCCUGAGAUAAGCCCGCGUAGGAUUAGCUAGUUGGUGAGGUAAAGGCUCACCAAGGCGACGAUCUGUAGCUGGUCUGAGAGGACGACCAGCCACACUGGGACUGAGACACGGCCCAGACCCCUACGGGAGGCAGCAGUGGGGAAUUUUGGACAAAUGGGCGCAAGCCUGAUCCAGCAAUGCCGCGUGCAGGAUGAAGGCCU
rnacentral:rRNA from 1 species